GCUCAUUAUAUCAGUUAUAGUUUAUUUGAUAGUCCCUUACUACUUGGAUAACCAUAGUAAUUCUAGAGCUAAUACAUGUGUCAAGAUAUGACUUUGGGAGGAUUGCAUUUAUUAGGUUGCAAAACCAACCCUCCCUCAGGAGGUUCUUUGGGUGAGUCAUGAUAAGCAUGCAGAACACAGGGCUUCACACUGGCAAUGGAUCAUGUAAGUUCCUGCCCUAUCAGCUUUGGAUGGUAGGGUAUUGGCCUACCAUGGCAUUAACCAGUAACAGGAGAUCAGGGUUUGAUUCUGGAGAGGGAGCCUGAGAGAUGGCUACCACAUCCAAGGAAGGCAGCAGGCACAUAAAUUACCCAAUCCUGACACAGGGAGGUAGUGAUGAUAAAUAACAAUGCUGGGCCUUUCUAGGUCUGGCAAUUGGAAUGAGAAUGAUGCAAACACCCUAUCAAGGAUCAAUUGGAGGGCAAGUCUGGUGCCAGCAGCCACAGUAAUUCCAGCUCCAAUAGCGUAUAUUAAAGUUGUUGCAGUUAAAAAGCUCAUGGUUGAAUUUCUGGCAGAGUUGGCCUGUCCUUCACUUGGUGUUGGCACUUGGUUGGAUCUCUGCCCUCCUUGGCUGGAGCCAGUGUGGCAUUUGGGUGUCAUGCUGGGGAUGGUCAUUGUUUACUGUGAAGAAAUUAGGGUGUUCAAAGCAGGCUUAGGCCUUGAAUACAUUAGCAUGGAAUAAUGAAAUAGGGUUUCAGGCACUAUUUUGUUGGUUUGCACACCAAAACAAUAAUUAAUAGGGACAAGUUGGGGGUAUUUGUAUUCAAUUGUCAGAGGUGAAAUUCUUGGAUUUCUGGAAGACGAAUGACUGUGAAAGCAUUUACCAAGGAUGUUUUCAUUAAUCAAGAAUGAAAGUUAGGGGAUCAGAGAUGAUUAGAUACCAUCAUAGUCUUAACCAUAAACUAUGCUGACUAGGGAUUGGUGGUUGUUCUGUUUUGACUCCAUCAGCACCUUCUGAGAAAUCAAAGUGUUUGGGUUCCAGGGGGAGUAUGGUCACAAGGCUGAAACUUAAAGAAAUUGAUGGAAGGGUACCACCAGGAGUGGAGCCUGUGGCUUAAUUUGACUCAACAUGGGAAAACUUACCAGGUCCAGACAUAGUGAGGAUUGACAGAUUGAGAGCUCUUUCUUGAUUCUAUGGGUGGUGGUGCAUGGCCGUUCUUAGUUGGUGGAGUGAUUUGUCUGGUUAAUUCCUUUAAUGAACAAGACCCCCGCCUGCUAAAUAGUCUGGUGAAUGAGUGUUCAUUGACCUGGUCUUCUUAGAGGGACUUUUGGUGACUAACCGAAGGAAGUUGGGGGCAAUAACAGGUCUGUGAUGCCCUUAGAUGUCCUGGGCUGAAUGCGUGCUACACUGAUGCAUUCAAUGAGUGUAGAACCUUGGCUGAGAGGCCUGGGUAAUCUUGGGAAUGUGCAUCAUGAUAGGGAUUGAAUAUUGCAAUUAUUAUUCAUGAAUGAGGAAUUCCUAGUAAAUGCAGAUCAUCAAUCUGCAUUGAUUAUGUCCCUGCCCUUUGUACACACCACCCAUUGCACCUACUGAUUGAAUGGUCCGGUGCAGCCUCAGGACUGCGGUCGGUUCCUUUA
rnacentral:rRNA from 1 species